rnacentral:rRNA from 1 species
AGUCGGACGGUAACGGGUAAGUACUUGUACUUAUGCUGACGAGUGGCGGACGGGUGAGUAAUGCUUGGGAAUCUGUCUUAUGGAGGGGGAUAACGACGGGAAACUGUCGCUAAUACCGCGUAGAGUCGGGAGACGAAAGUGCGGGACUUAAUGGCCGCAUGCCAUGAGAUGAGCCCAAGUGUGAUUAGGUAGUUGGUGGGGUAAAGGCCUACCAAGCCGACGAUCGCUAGCUGGUCUGAGAGGAUGGCCAGCCACACCCGGGACUGAGACACGGCCCGGACUCCUACGGGAGGCAGCAGUGGGGAAUAUUGCGCAAUGGGGGCAACCCUGACGCAGCCAUGCCGCGUGAAUGAAGAAGGCCUUCGGGUUGUAAAGUUCUUUCGGUGGUGAGGAAGGGAUGUUGUUUAAUAGAUAACAUCAUUGACGUUAACUACAGAAGAAGCACCGGCUAACUCCGUGCCAGCAGCCGCGGUAAUACGGAGGGUGCGAGCGUUAAUCGGAAUAACUGGGCGUAAAGGGCACGCAGGCGGACCUUUAAGUGAGGUGUGAAAUCCCCGGGCUUAACCUGGGAAUUGCAUUUCAUACUGGGGGUCUGGAGUACUUUAGGGAGGGGUAGAAUUCCACGUGUAGCGGUGAAAUGCGUAGAGAUGUGGAGGAAUACCGAAGGCGAAGGCAGCCCCUUGGGGAUGUACUGACGCUGAUGUGCGAAAGCGUGGGGAGCAAACAGGAUUAGAUACCCUGGUAGUCCACGCUGUAAACGGUGUCGAUUUGGGGAUUGGGGUUUAGCCUUGGUGCCCGAAGCUAACGUGAUAAAUCGACCGCCUGGGGAGUACGGCCGCAAGGUUAAAACUCAAAUGAAUUGACGGGGGCCCGCACAAGCGGUGGAGCAUGUGGUUUAAUUCGAUGCAACGCGAAGAACCUUACCUACUCUUGACAUCCAUGGAAUCCUGUAGAGAUACGGGAGUGCCUUUGGGGAACCAUGAGACAGGUGCUGCAUGGCUGUCCGUCAGCUCGUGUUGUGAAAUGUUGGGUUAAGUCCCGCAACGAGCGCAACCCUUAUCCUUUGUUGCCAGCGACUUGGUCGGGAACUCAAAGGAGACUGCCGGUGAUAAACCGGAGGAAGGUGGGGAUGACGUCAAGUCAUCAUGGCCCUUACGAGUAGGGCUACACACGUGCUACAAUGGCGUAUACAGAGGGUAACCAACCGGUGAUGGGGAGUAAUCUCAGAAAGUACGUCUAGUUCGGAUG